GACGAACGCUGGCGGCGUGCUUAACACAUGCAAGUCGAGCGGUAAGGCCUUUCGGGGUACACGAGCGGCGAACGGGUGAGUAACACGUGGGUGAUCUGCCCUGCACUUCGGGAUAAGCCUGGGAAACUGGGUCUAAUACCGGAUAUGACCUCCUAUCGCAUGGUGGGCGGUGGAAAGAUUUAUCGGUGCAGGAUGGGCCCGCGGCCUAUCAGCUUGUUGGUGGGGUAAUGGCCUACCAAGGCGACGACGGGUAGCCGACCUGAGAGGGUGACCGGCCACACUGGGACUGAGACACGGCCCAGACUCCUACGGGAGGCAGCAGUGGGGAAUAUUGCACAAUGGGCGAAAGCCUGAUGCAGCGACGCCGCGUGAGGGAUGACGGCCUUCGGGUUGUAAACCUCUUUCAGCAGGGACGAAGCGCAAGUGACGGUACCUGCAGAAGAAGCACCGGCUAACUACGUG
rnacentral:rRNA from 1 species